rnacentral:misc_RNA from 1 species
CAGAGUUCAUGCCCUAACGGGUAGAUCUCCCACCCUUGAGUAUUAUACUUUUGUUGCUUUGGCGGGCCGCCUAGGCUACCGGCUUCGGCUGGUGAGUGCCCGCCAGAGGACCCAAAAACUCUGAAUUAUAGUGUUGUCUGAGUACUAUAAAAUAGUUA